CCUACGUGAGGCAGCAGUGGGGAAUAUUGCACACUGGGGGAAACCCUGAUGCAGCGACGCCGCGUGACGGAUGAAGUCUUUCGGUAUGUAAACUUCUAUCAGCAGGGAAGAAACUGACGUUACCUGACUAAGAUGCCCCGGCUAACUACGUGCCAGCAGCCGCGGUAAUACGUCGGGGGCAAGCGUUAUCCGGAUUUACUGGGUGUAAUGGGAGCGUAGGCGGUGCAGCAAGUCAGAAGUGAACGCCCGGGGCUCAACUACUGGACUGCAUUUGAAACUGUUGAACUAGAUUGCAGGAGAGGUAAGUGGAAUUCCUAGUGUAGCGGUGAAAUGCGUAGAUAUGAGGAGGAACACCAGUGGCGAAGGCGGCUUACUGGACUGGAAAUGACGCUGAGGCUCGAAAGCGUGGGGAGCAAACAGGAUUAGAUACCCUAGUAGUC
rnacentral:rRNA from 1 species